rnacentral:tRNA from 1 species
GUGAGGCUUGCUGGAUAAGGCUUGCGCCCUAGGAUUGUGAUUCCUGUUGUCGUGGGUUCGAGUCCCAUCAGCCACCCCA